rnacentral:lncRNA from 1 species
GCGUCGAAGGCGGCGGGCGGGGUGGCCCGAGCGGCGACGGUGCCGGGCGGCCGGGCGACCCGGCCGGCGCCACUCCUCCCCCGACCAGCACUCUUCUCCUCCCCGGCCGACGUCUCUUCUCUCCCGGCGCUGCCCAGGCACGGGGAGGCGGGCGCCGGACGUGGAGUGGAGCGCCGACGCCGGACUUGGAGCGGGGUGGCCGGCGUCGGACGUGGAGCAGGCGGCGGCGCCGGACGUGGAGUGUGGCGCCAUCGCCGGACUUGGAGCGAGGCGGCCGGCGCCGGACAUGGAGCGGGACGAGGAGAUCGGAGGCGAGCGCGCGCGCGGAGCAACGAUGGAGAAGCCACUCGCUCCAAGCGCGGUUGCGGCGCUCUCUCCCUGCCCCAUGCGACCCUCGAUAUCACCGGAGAACUUGUGACCUUCUUUGGACGCGAGGACCUCAGGUUGGUGGGCCCAAACACGGACGUGGCGCUGAAUGCCAACUCAUUGCAUUAUGAACGUGGCAACCCAUUCACAGUGCACGUGGUCUCACAGCCCCAAGCCGGGCCGAGCUCCUCCGCCACCGACGGGAGAGGCGGCGGGGCUUGGCGCUCGCCGGCGCACCACCCUCCUCUCCCUCCUCCCACCUCCCAUGAAACAACGGCGAGGUCGGCACGCGGAAGCGGGCGGCGGAGGAAUCGGCGGCGGGGGAGCUCGGCGGCGGGGGAGCUCGACGUCGGCCGGCGAGGGCGCCGUCGCUUCACCACCUCUGCGGGCGAGCUCCUCUCGUCGCCGCCGGAUGGGAUGGCGAACUCGGCACGGAUCUGGCUCGGAUUCGGCGCCCCUACUCCUCUUCCUCUCCGGCGAGCUUUUUCACUCACUCACUCUCCUUGCUAUGUGGCAUGUGUUUCUCUCACAAAAUUUGCUGAGGUUCUCAGAGCCAAAACUAGCCAUGCGAACCUGGUGAAAACGUGGGCCCCAUCUCCUUCUCUCCUCCAUGCACGCAUUGGACCGACAUGGACAGAGAUUACCACACGCCACCUCACCGCAUCGUGA